GAUGAAGAACGUAGCGAAAUGCGAUAAGUAAUGUGAAUUGCAGAAUUCAGUGAAUCAUCGAAUCUUUGAACGCACAUUGCGCCCCUUGGUAUUCCGGGGGGCAUGCCUGUUCGAGUGUCAUUAUAACCCCUCAAGCUCAGCUGGGUGUUGGGGCCUGCCAACUGGCAGCCCUUAAAAUCAGUGGCGGCGCCAUCUGGCUCUAAGCGUAGUAAUUUCUCUCGCUAUAGGGUCCCGGUGGAUGCUGGCCAGCAACCCCCAAUUUUCUAUGGUUGACCUCGGAUCAGGUAGGGAUACCCGCUGAACUUAAGCAUAUCAAUAAGCGGAGGA
rnacentral:misc_RNA from 1 species